rnacentral:rRNA from 1 species
GAGUGAAGCGGCAAAAGCUCAAAUUUGAAAUCUGGCUCUUUCAGAGUCCGAGUUGUAAUUUGAAGAAGGUAUCUUUGGGUCUGGCUCUUGUCUAUGUUUCUUGGAACAGAACGUCACAGAGGGUGAGAAUCCCGUGCGAUGAGAUGAUCCAGGCCUAUGUAAAGUUCCUUCGAAGAGUCGAGUUGUUUGGGAAUGCAGCUCUAAGUGGGUGGUAAAUUCCAUCUAAAGCUAAAUAUUGGCGAGAGACCGAUAGCGAACAAGUACAGUGAUGGAAAGAUGAAAAGAACUUUGAAAAGAGAGUGAAAAAGUACGUGAAAUUGUUGAAAGGGAAGGGCUUGAGAUCAGACUUGGUAUUUUGUAUGUUACUUCUUCGGGGGUGGCCUCUACAGUUUAUCGGGCCAGCAUCAGUUUGGGCGGUAGGAGAAUUGCGUUGGAAUGUGGCACGGCUUCGGUUGUGUGUUAUAGCCUUCGUCGAUACUGCCAGCCUAGACUGAGGACUGCGGUUUAUACCUAGGAUGUUGGCAUAAUGAUCUUAAGUCGCCCGUCUUGAAAAACGGACCA